UACGUAGGUGGCAAGCGUUGUCCGGAAUUAUUGGGCGUAAAGCGCGCGCAGGCGGCCUCCUAAGUCCGAUGUGAAAGCCCACGGCUCAACCGUGGAGGGUCAUUGGAAACUGGGGGACUUGAGUGCAGGAGAGAAGAGUGGAAUUCCACGUGUAGCGGUGAAAUGCGUAGAGAUCGGCAGGAACACCCAGGGGGAAACCAGUCGACUGGGCAUCUACUGACGCUGAGGUGCGAGAGCGUGGGGAGCGAACCGG
rnacentral:rRNA from 1 species